AGAGUUUGAUCCUGGCUCAGGAUGAACGCUGGCGGCGUGCCUAACACAUGCAAGUCGAGCGGGAAUAUGGAAGUGCUUGCACAUCUAUAUUCUAGCGGCGGACGGGUGAGUAACGCGUGGAUAAUCUGCCCUUGACAUUGGAAUAACAUCCAGAAAUGGAUGCUAAAACCGAAUAAGCUCACAGAUUCGCAUGGAUCAGU
rnacentral:rRNA from 1 species